rnacentral:tmRNA from 1 species
GCCGUUGGCAGAUGAGCGUAACCCGGACAGAUCAGAAAGCAGUCGGACGCGGGGGCAGAGCCCGCCGGCUCCACCAUUGCGGGGCCGACACAGGAUCGACGCCUGCGGGAAGAGAUGAACGCGCUCGGGCAUGGCGCCACCCUCAUCGGGCCGACCACGGAACUGUCAACGACAACGUUCCCGCUGAGGAUCGUCGCAUCGCGGCGUAACCCUCUUGGGCUCGCCCGGCGGCCUCGAAACAGAA